rnacentral:rRNA from 1 species
GACGACGCUGGCGGCGUGCCUAAUACAUGCAAGUAGGACGAGUUGCGAACGGGUGAGUAACGCGUGGUCACCUGCCUAUUAGAAGGGGCUAACUAUUGGAAACGAUAGCUACUACCGCAUAAUAGUAGAUGGACCUGCGUUGUAUUAGCUAGUAGGUGGGGGAAAGGCUCACCUAGGCGACGAUCCCUAGCUGGGCUGAGAGGAUGACCAGCCACACUGGAACUGAGACACGGUCCAGACUCCGACGGGAGGCAGCAGUGGGGAAUAUUGCACACUGGGCGCAAGCCUGAUGCAGUCAUGCCGCGUGUAUGAAGAAGGCCUUCGGGUUGUAAAGUACUUUCAGCGGGGAGGCGUUACCCGCAGAAGAAGCACCGGCUAACUCCGUGCCAGCAGCCGCGGUAAUUC